AUGGGAGCACCGGGCAUCACCACCCCCUGCCGGAUCCAUGAGAUUUGGCCGGAACCACCGCCAUCGGCCACCGAAAGUGGAUCCUGCAGCCCCGUCCAACUCUCCCUCCUACUGUCAGGCGCCCAUCAUGGGCGACCUCCUAACGGCACGACUGCCUCCACCUACAUCCCUCCCGUCCCAAUCGGAGGUAGCGGCGGGGCUCCCUGCACUGACUGCAUUCAGCGUGCAGUUAUACCCACGGGGACGUGCAACUCAACCAACAGGAGCGUGCAGUUGAGUAACCACGGUGCUGCUGUCGACCACCCCCCGUUCGUGCAGUUCUGCCGAUGGCCGAUGUAG
rnacentral:rRNA from 1 species